CAAGCUAAAGUAAUGAAAUACUUGAUCAAACAAGAUUAAAGACUUGAAAAUAUUGAGAAAGUUCUCCUAAAUUUAAAAUCAUCCUCAGUUGGAGUAGAUAAAGAAGUAUCCCAAAUAAGCAAUUUGAAAGAUUUACAUAAUUUAGAGGAAAGAAUUGCAAAUGAAGAAGAAUUUAAUAAACUGGUCUUAUCUCUGUCUUCUGCUGGGGGUAAAGAUGUUAAAGAUGUUCUCAAGAACAUUAUGGAAAGUGUCGCUACGUACGAUGUGUUUGCCAAGUUCAAUUUUCGAGGAACUAAUCGCCUCAAAAAUAAUAAAGAGUCAAGACCUAAGAAAAGCUUUUAAAUGUCUUACUGUAUGCAAAGCUGUGUGAUGUGCAGCAAUGAAGGAUAAAAAAUUUAACAAAGAAGACGUAUUAAACUGCGUAAAAGAUAUUUUGCAAUACGCUCCAGACAAGGCCACAGGCGGAAGACGGUCUUCAACAUAAUAUUUUUUCAAUUGUUAAAAUGUAAAAAGCAAAUGAGAGGUUAACUUGUAAAUCUUGUUUUAUAUUU